GAUGAACGCUGGCGGCGUGCCUAAUACAUGCAAGUCGAGCGAACGGACGAGAAGCUUGCUUCUCUGAUGUUAGCGGCGGACGGGUGAGUAACACGUGGAUAACCUACCUAUAAGACUGGGAUAACUUCGGGAAACCGUAGCUAAUACCGGAUAAUAUUUUGAACCGCAUGGUUCAAAAGUGAAAGACGGUCUUGCUGUCACUUAUAGAUGGAUCCGCGCUGCAUUAGCUAGUUGGUAAGGUAACGGCUUACCAAGGCAACGAUGCAUAGCCGACCUGAGAGGGUGAUCGGCCACACUGGAACUGAGACACGGUCCAGACUCCUACGGGAGGCAGCAGUAGGGAAUCUUCCGCAAUGGGCGAGAGCCUGACGGAGCAACGCCGCGUGAGUGAUGAAGGUCUUCGGAUCGUAAAACUCUGUUAUUAGGGAAGAACAUAUGUGUAAGUAACUGUGUACAUCUUGACGGUACCUAAUCAGAAAGCCACGGCUAACUACGUG
rnacentral:rRNA from 1 species